AGCCAAUCAGGUUGUAGCAGUCUGGCUGAAGGUCGUCACUAGUUACCGCAGCCAAAAAGUCAUAAACCAGGCGGCUCGCCGUUAAAGCUAGUUAAGGCGGAAACCGACGCCCUUUGCAGCCUGAAUGGAGGAUGUUUAAUGUACGAGCCGGUCGCCGGGGGUCAUGAGUGUAUAGCAGGCUGCGUACAUUCCAGUUGGAAGCAGAUGGCAAACGACGUAUAAGGAAUACUAACGCCAUCUACCGGCCGGUUGGGAUACCUCAUACUGUAGACAUCUUGGGUUGAUAAUAUGCAGAUAUCUAUAACAUUUCCACUGAACAUUUUCCAGCCUAGAAAAAAUAGCUACACUAUAAAACAUUUUACAGACAGUUUUUAUGCCAGUAAAGUCAACUGUAUAAAAAUAAAUCACGACAGCUGUCAUAUAAAAAGGAAGUUUCGGCACUAUUUUAUAAAUGCCGACGGAUCAUUUGUUGGUUCAAAAUGGUGGGAUGUUUAAAUGCUGGUCAAAUUAAUUAUGCCAGAAAUGGCGCUGGAAACGCCUUUAUGCGCAAAUAUUGAUACAACAACCAUCAUAUCAAAGUAAAUUUGGAGUCACGAGUUUAUAUGCUGUGUUCCUCCCACUACGACUUGGGAAACCAUUCAGUUUAUUAAGCUACAGAUUAAAUAAAUUAUGAAUUUGACUUGGUGAAAAUCCACGGUGAUCUUGACGCUACUUUUCCAAAAAUAUCGAGUGUCCUAUUCUGGUGACAUGAUCGAUGCUUGACAGGCAUUUGACAAAUAAAAAAAAAUCUCGCUCUUUUAUCCAUAAUAAUCAGGGGUUCCCAAAUGUUUUCACUCUGACCCCCCUUCCAGCGCGCGUACGCACAAGCACUGUUCAUGACACAAAUUGUUCACACCCCUCUUGUUGGUGGGGAGAAUAUUGCAGGUUUAUAGCUUCGUUCUUGCAAUUCUACAAAUUGUCAUGUGGUGCGAAGAAAAUUUUGCCUGGCUACCGUUUCCCCAAAUAAGAAGUGAACCUGUAUGAAAUAACUACUGGUAAUGGUGGUGGUUGUUUGGAUUAUGAGAAGGUGAAAAUACAGGCAAAUAAUAUACUGUUUUUAAAGCAAUAAAACCAGUAUAUUAUUUGCCAAUAUUAUUUUCACCGUAUCCAAAAGUUGUCCACGUGAUCAUCGAAUAUGCAAAUGAGUCAUUGUUCUGUUCUGUUCACUAUUUUCAUUCGCAAUAUAGGACUGUUUCGCUCGAAUUAUUGCACAGCUCAUUGCGUUAUUAUAGUACACAUAUUUUCUAGAUAGGUAGGCCUGAAUGAACCAAAAAUGCAAAAAUGUAUCACGAUCAAAUCAAUCAAGCAUGCAACAGCAGCGUCCUUGCAGCACGUUACAAUGUUGCAUAUAACGAUAGCUAUGCACAGGGGUUCGUUCGCUCUAGGGAUUAAAUCUAAAUAGCAACAUUAGCUACAGUACUUACGUGCAAUGUUUCCCUGUAUGAGCUCGAGUGUAGUGUUCGCGGAUGCAGUGCGUGAAGGCGGUAGAUACAGGCCUGCAAAAUGUCUACCCUAGUGGUUCGAGGUUUACCAGAUCUUGAUUCCAAAUGAACUGGAUUAAGUACUUUCACCACAAGGCUGUUCUACUGUUCCGGUGAUCUAGAAGUCAGUCACGCGAGUUUGCUUCAGGUUCGUUGCACCCGGACGUACCGUUUAUAUUGAAUUGUGGGAAAUUAUGUUCUCUUUCUGUGCUUCUGGUCACAGUUAGUAGGCUGUGUUAACAAUUUUAAAGCGGCAAUCUGCGAUUUAAAGCAACACCGCGCCGCUGUUUAGGUAAAUAGCUGAGGGAUGUUUCUAGAGAAAUGUAACCAGUAACCACUCAAAUUCAUUGACAGCUAUGGAUGCAAGGACUUACUUACCAUACACAAUAUACAAAUUAUAGUAUAUACCAUGUUUUGAGGCUAUACAGUGUUUGUUUACAAUUGCAUUGUUUGCAAACAUUGGAGUAAAACAAGAUAAUAUGUUGGUUUCUGAUAGGGUACGACAGUUCAUGAGGCAUUUAUAAAUUCAAUUCUUCAAAAAAAUCUAUGGGUUAUAUUGUAGCGAUGCUCGAUAUACAAUUCCCACAACUGGGGUAACCCUAUUCGUGUGAUGCGCAGGGUGUUUGCCUUUCACACCAGUGACCCGUGUUUGCUUCCCUGUCGUUUGCCCGUUUCCUACAAUAUCAUGAAUUUAAAAGUCCAAAAAGGGAAGUUGCAAAUGCAUAUUGCCCCCUUUAAAAGCCACAUUUACAGUCUUUAUGCUAUUAAAUCAAAUACAUGCAUACAGAAAGCAUUUGUAUUGAUAGUAAAUUUGACAACAGUUCUGAAGAAAAAAAUGCAUACAUUUUAGCAAUCACUAAAAUAUCAAAAUAAUGUAUUAUAUCAAUGCUUGUAAGAGUUGUUUUAGGUUCUGUGAACUAGGCCUAGACACAGUGUAGUAUCUGAUAGGUCUAUAUCCAACUAAUUUCCUUUGCAUCAGGUCAACAUUAAGGGUUCAUUUAUCUCUUGGUUCAUUAUACAGCUGAAGGUUCCAUUUUUGGAAGAAAGGAUGUUAUUGUUGAGAGUAGGUUAAAGGUGACAAGAGAUUUGUAAACAGAAGCAUACAAUUGCUCCACAUUGUGAGGCCCUAAUAUGAAAACAUCCUAUAAAAUCUUCCUUGGCACAAUGUUAAGUACGGGUCAAAGUACGUUGGUAACCUUAGGGGGAGAGAACAUAACAUUUGUGUUUUAUAAUUCCGUUUACAAGUUCCUUGUAAUAUGUCAUUCUGAGCCUCCGGGUUCAACCAAGGGUCAUAUUCACCAGGCACCAAACAGAAAGGAAAAUGGAAUGAAACUUGGAGGGACUACCUGAACUUGUCCAAUAAGAAACCAUUUUUUCAUUUUCCUUUCCAAAACGUUUUGCUAUAGGGUGCACCAAUAAAUUGGACCCAAGAGUCAGCUGACAGCAGGUGCACUCACAGCAGAACUGUACAGUACUGGCCCACAUCUGUUAGGCACACCCAGGACAAGCCACAACAUGUUAGUCACCACUGUUGUAGCUAUUAUGGCCAGGGAUAUAAGGACACUCAGGACAGGAGGGAAAUUAUCUUCAAAUCAGAUCUGAAUCUGGUGCAGAUACAGGACUUUGACACAUAUUAGACAUUAUUUGUUAACCCAUGAAAGUUAGCACAAAGUACCCUAAAAUUAACCUCCAGAAAGGUCAAACUCAAUAUAGUAAGGUCAACUGAUGCUCUGUAAUGUUCAUUAUAGGGUCAACAAUUAUUCCUCAAAUGCACCUGCAUUUCUUAGAAACACUUGCCAUGUUGCACAAUCAAUCUAGCUUUAUUAAUUGUCAUUUGUCACUUCAUCAAUUGACGUAUGUUUCAAUCACAGGUUAACUGUUGGCAGAUGUUCCUGUCCUGUGUUCUAAUUAUGAACUCCCGAUUGUACUUUGAGCAAACCAAUACAUUUUUAUGACUGGUUUAUGUAAGUGUGCAAGCUCUCUUCCAAUCCAAAAAAUAUCAAAUAACAUGUGUCCUAAGCCAGCAUAGUAUUGAUUGCAGGUGUAGUGUACACUUAACAUAUCUGUACACAUAGCGUCACCUAUCACACACUUUAUGGACUGUUGCUUGAUGCUGUGCAAAGUGCACUGGGCCAAUUAACUUUCAAAUGGAGGCCAAGAGAAUAUCCCUAAUUGAAAUGUUCUAUUAUUAUAAGGAUAUAACUGUCUAGUAAUAUAUGCAUCAAUACUUCAGAUAUUUAUGAGGAUCUUUUUAUUCCACAAAAUAGUAUAAAUAGUGUUAUUAUCUCUGGUCCUUAUGAACCUUAACUUGGGUCUUUGGGCACCCAUUGUCAGUGAGGCCCAGUGAGGGCCAAAAAUUAGUUUUUGCCUUUUUUCUAGGCCCACCCCACAAAUGACCAAUUAUAUAAUAUGUAUUACUAAAAAUAGAAUAUACUGUAUGUAUGUAUGUAUCCUAAGCAAUUGCUUUAGGAUGUGGUGAGUCAGUGGUCUGCUCUGUUUGCAAAACAAAAAUAUUUUGCUAUGGUAACCGUUGACUGAAGUUCACUGUACAAAUGGAAUAACAAUAGCACAAUUUGAUUCCAUGCAAACAAGGACAUAUCACUGUGUUCCUUCCAAGGGAAUUAGCCUACAAUGAUAAACAGCUGCCUAUCUGAUUUCAGUUCAAUCUGUAAGGACGUGUCUAACAACAUAGGUUUGAAAAUUACUGUAAAAACAGCAGGUGAUUGGGAGGCGGGACUAGCACAGGUGGGAUCCACAACUUACAUCACCAUCAUUAAGGCUAUAUAAUGGAGUGAACUUCUGACAUUAGCAGAAGACUCUCACUGACUGACAAGCCAUACACAGCUGAACACGUUUGGAUACUCAAGUCUACUCUGUACCACAAGUACAAACAGAACUCUUGAAGAGCUCAACAAAGAAACAGAAAGCAAGCGCAAAUCAACAUGACUGGACAAGAUCUAACUGCCAUUCUGGACUGUGCGCAUCAGCUGCGUAAAGUUGGAGACGUCCUCGCUAGUGACACCCUGGACUGGAGAUCCAAAUUAUUGGAAAUAUUGACAAAACAUUACAAGAAUAUAAUCAAAGUUAAGUGAGGGAGUUCAACCCACUCAGUGAAGAUCACGGAAACAAGAAGAUAGAAUACUAUCUCAGUCCGCAGUUUUAGUAGCUGUGCAGCAGUCCCGCCUGGUCGUUCAGAGGUGCAUUUGCAGCCACCUGAAAUGGAAGUCAAGAAGACAGUCUGCCUGGACCUGCACCACAAUCCAAUAUUCAAUGGCAAAGUGUCCAGUGCUCACCCCCCCCCACCAUGUCAAUGGAGAGUGAAAAGGAUCAGUAACAUUGUGUAAUGGCAAAACCAGUGGACCUCUGCUGGUUUGUCGUUGGGACAUUUGGUAGCCCGAUGGGCAGCCAUUCACAUGGACGUCAAACGCGAACAUCGGAACCAGAGCUGACAGGACUGAUCCUACAAGAAAGUACGAUGACAAAGGAGGAUUAUCAGUUGUUGGGGACAUGUUUUGGAUCAUGGACACAUGACUUUGAAGUGCUCUGAUGCCUUAUGUGAGGAUUACAUUCAUUUUGUUUUAAAUAAUUGUGCCUUGAGCGAUUAAAAGUUUUCAAAAUCUGCAAUA